CGUAGGUAACCUGCCUAUUAGAGGGGGGUAACUAUUGGAAACGAUAGCUAAUACCGCAUAACAGUAUGUAACACAUGUUAGAUGCUUGAAAGAUGCAAUUGCAUCGCUAGUAGAUGGACCUGCGUUGUAUUAGCUAGUAGGUAGGGUAAUGGCCUACCUAGGCGACGAUACAUAGCCGACCUGAGAGGGUGAUCGGCCACACUGGGACUGAGACACGGCCCAG
rnacentral:rRNA from 1 species